rnacentral:tRNA from 1 species
GGAGGGUUCGCAUAGCGGCCGAGUGCAACGCUCUUGAAAAGCGUAAGGUCGGUGACCCGGCCUCGUGGGUUCAAAUCCCACACCCUCCG